GAUUCCGUAGUGUAGCGGUUAUCAUAUCUGCCUAACAAGCUGAAGGUCCCCGGUUCGAGCCCGGGCGGAAUCA
rnacentral:tRNA from 1 species